GCCGGGCGUGGUGGCACGUGCCUGUAGUCCCAGCUACUCAGGAGGCUGAGGCAGGGGAAUCACUUGAACCCGGGAGGCGGAGGUUGCAGUGAGCCUAGAUCACGCCACUGCACUCUAACCUGGGCAACAGAGUGAGACUCUGUCUCAA
rnacentral:SRP_RNA from 1 species